AUACUGCUCUGUCGCUUUAGUAAAUCUAAAGAGGAAAGUCCGGACAACGUAGGGCACCACACCAUCUAACGGAUGGGAUCAUGCCAGGCAUGGUACAGAAAGUGUCACAGAAAAUAACCGCCUAGCUGAGCUGGGUAAGGGUGAAAAUGUGAGGUAAAAGCUCACAGGUUCAUGCAGUAAUGUAAGAAUCGGAUAAACCUUGUGGGUUGAAAUGCCAUGUAUAUCCUGGCCUUCUGCUGAAGAAGUCUGAUUGGCAUCGGUCGGAAACCCUUUUUGGGUAGUCAGGAGGGGUAGGCAGCUUAGAUAAAUGACAGAGGACACAUUUUUUUGUGUUACAGAAUCCGGCUUACAGGUAUUAUU
rnacentral:RNase_P_RNA from 1 species